rnacentral:rRNA from 1 species
AGCGAACGCUGGCGGCAGGCCUAACACAUGCAAGUCGAACGAACCUUUCGGGGUUAGUGGCGGACGGGUGAGUAACACGUGGGAACGUGCCUUUAGGUUCGGAAUAACUCAGGGAAACUUGUGCUAAUACCGAAUGUGCCCUUCGGGGGAAAGAUUUAUCGCCUUUAGAGCGGCCCGCGUCUGAUUAGCUAGUUGGUUGAGGUAAUGGCUCACCAAGGCGACGAUCAGUAGCUGGUCUGAGAGGAUGAUCAGCCACAUUGGGACUGAGACACGGCCCAAACUCCUACGGGAGGCAGCAGUGGGGAAUCUUGCGCAAUGGGCGAAAGCCUGACGCAGCCAUGCCGCGUGAAUGAUGAAGGUCUUAGGAUAGUAAAAUUCUUUCACCGGGGACGAUAAUGACGGUACCCGGAGAAGAAGCCCCGGCUAACUUCGUG